rnacentral:rRNA from 1 species
AACGAACGCUGGCGGCAGGCUUAACACAUGCAAGUCGAGCGCCCCGCAAGGGGAGCGGCAGACGGGUGAGUAACGCGUGGGAAUCUACCCAUCUCUACGGAAUAACGCAUGGAAACGUGUGCUAAUACCGUAUACGUCCUUCGGGAGAAAGAUUUAUCGGAGAUGGAUGAGCCCGCGUUGGAUCAGCUAGUUGGUGGGGUAAAGGCCUACCAAGGCGACGAUCAUAGCUGGUCUGAGAGGAUGAUCAGCCACACUGGGACUGAGACACGGCCCAGACUCCUACGGGAGGCAGCAGUGGGGAAUAUUGGACAAUGGGCGCAAGCCUGAUCCAGCUAUGCCGCGUGAGUGAUGAAGGCCCUAGGGUUGUAAGGCUCUUUCACCGGUGAAGAUAAUGACGGUAACCGGAGAAGAAGCCCCGGCUAACUUCGUGCCAGCCGCCGCGGUAAGAC